rnacentral:lncRNA from 1 species
GAUGUGCCUAAUUUAAGACACCAAUUCGUACAAUUGAUAAGCACACCAAAGAAAUAGGAACGAAAUCCAAAAUUCCUCUGUUGAUCUAGGAAGUACAAAAUGAGCAAUUAAAUUAAAGCAAGAUGAUAUGAUUUAUUUAAAUAACUCCGAGAUUAUUUUAGUGUGAUCUUCUGAGUGCAGUUGAAGUAACUCUGCAUGCCUAUCUUGACUCUAUGCCCAGUUUCAAAGCAAAAUUAUAUUAUUUUGCUUCCGUUUCUAAAAUCCAUGAUGCAAGAAAAGACCCCUAAAUUCUUUUCCUAAUCUAAGUUUGGGUGGUUGAAUGCUUGGACCAUUUGACAGAUAUG